rnacentral:rRNA from 1 species
GAUCAUGGCUCAGGAUUAACGCUGGCGGCGUGCAUAACACAUUCAAGUCGAACGGUCUGUAGAAAUACAGGUAGUGGCGGACGGGUGAGUAACGCGUGAGCAAUCUACCUCAGGGAGCGGGAUAACAACGGGAAACUGUUGCUAAUACCGCAUGACACAGAGACUUCGCAUGGAGACUCUGUCAAAGGGCUACCGCCCUGAGAUGAGCUUGCGUCCGAUUAGAUAGUUGGG